rnacentral:tRNA from 1 species
GGCGCGAUAGCAAAGUGGCUAUGCACCGGAUUGCAAAUCCGUUUACGGCGGUUCGAUUCCGCCUCGCGCCUCCA